AGCAGCCGCGGUAAUUCCAGCUCCAAUAGCGUAUAUUAAAGUUGCUGCAGUUAAAAAAGCUCGUAGUUGAAUUUCGGGACUAAUAUGUCGGUCGUGCCUCGGUACGUACUGGUAUUUUUGGUUUCUCCCUUCUGACGAACCUUGAUGUCAUUAAUUUGGUGUCUUGGGGAAUCAGGACCGUUACUUUGAAAAAAUUAGAGUGUUUAAAGCAAGCUAACGCUUGAAUACAUUAGCAUGGAAUAAUGAAAUAGGACGUUCGAUCCUAUUUUGUUGGUUUCUAGGAUUGACGUAAUGAUUAAUAGGGAUAGUUGGGGGCAUUAGUAUUCAAUUGUCAGAGGUGAAAUUCUUGGAUUUAUUGAAGACUAACUACUGCG
rnacentral:rRNA from 1 species